UCCCUGGUGGCUUAGAGGUUAAAGCAUCCACCUGGAAUGCGGGAGACCAGGGGUUCGAUCCCUGGGUUGGGAA
rfam:Ovis aries breed Texel chromosome 2, whole genome shotgun sequence.